rnacentral:rRNA from 1 species
GACGAACGCUGGCGGCGUGCUUAACACAUGCAAGUCGAACGAUGAACCCGGAGCUUGCUCCGGCGGAUUAGUGGCGAACGGGUGAGUAACACGUGAGUAACCUGCCCUUGACUCUGGGAUAACUGCGGGAAACUGUAGCUAAUACCGGAUACGACCCUCGGCGGCAUCGCCAGGGGGUGGAAAGGAGUUCGGUCAAGGAUGGACUCGCGGCCAAUCAGCUAUUUGGUGAGGUAACGGCUCACCAAGGCGACGACGGGUAGCCGGCCUGAGAGGGUGACCGGCCACACUGGGACUGAGACACGGCCCAGACUCCUACGGGAGGCAGCAGUGGGGAAUAUUGCACAAUGGGCGCAAGCCUGAUGCAGCAACGCCGCGUGAGGGAUGACGGCCUUCGGGUUGUAAACCUCUUUUAGUAGGGAAGAAGCGAAAGUGACGGUACCUGCAGAAAAAGCACCGGCUAACUACGUGCCAGCCGCCGCCGUAA